GACGAACGCUGGCGGCGUGCUUAACACAUGCAAGUCGAACGGAAAGGCCUCUUUCGGGGGGUACUCGAGUGGCGAACGGGUGAGUAACACGUGAGUAACCUGCCCUUGACUUUGGGAUAACUUCAGGAAACUGGGGCUAAUACCGGAUAGGAGCUCCUGCUGCAUGGUGGGGGUUGGAAAGUUUCGGCGGUUGGGGAUGGACUCGCGGCUUAUCAGCUUGUUGGUGGGGUAGUGGCUUACCAAGGCUUUGACGGGUAGCCGGCCUGAGAGGGUGGCCGGCCACAUUGGGACUGAGAUACGGCCCAGACUCCUACGGGAGGCAGCAGUGGGGAAUAUUGCACAAUGGGUGGAAGCCUGAUGCAGCAACGCCGUGUGCGGGAUGACGGCCUUCGGGUUGUAAACCGCUUUCGCUCAUGACGAAGCUUUGUGUGACGGUAGUGGGUAAAGAAGCACCGGCUAACUACGU
rnacentral:rRNA from 1 species